rnacentral:rRNA from 1 species
CCUACGGGGGGCAGCAGUGGGGGAUAUUGCACAAUGGGGGAAACCCUGAUGCAGCGACGCCGCGUGGGUGAAGAAGCGCCUCGGCGCGUAAAGCCCUGUCAGCAGGGAAGAAAAUGACGGUACCUGAAGAAGAAGCCCCGGCUAACUACGUGACAGCAGCCGCGGGAAUACGUAGGGGGCAAGCGGUAUCCGGAUUUACUGGGUGUAAAGGGGGCGCAGACGGCAAUGCAAGCCAGGAGGGAAAGCCCGGGGGCCAACCCCGGGACUGCUGUUGUAACUGGGUGGCUAGAGUGCAGGAGGGGCAGGCGGAAUGCCUGGUGUAGCGGUGAAAUGCGUAGAUAUCAGGAGGAACACCGGUGGCGAAGGCGGCCUGCUGGACUGCAACUGACGUUGAGGCCCGAAAGCGUGGGGAGCAAACAGGAUUAGAUACCCGAGUAGUC